CAAGAUACAAAACCAACAAACACAAAAAUGAAUUUCUUCAUCUUUAUUUGGAUUCUGGGAGCUUUUAUUCCAGAAUCCAGAGGAGUCACUGUAACUCAGACUGAAGUUGUGACUAAAACUGCAGGAGAAGAAGUCACUAUAAAGUGUAAAACUGAUCCUGGAAUAUAUGGCUGGGGUUUAGCUUGGUAUCAGCAGAAACCUGGAGAAGCUCCAAAACUCAUCAUAUAUAGCGUAAAUUCUCGGUAUGGUGAUAGUUUUCAGCGAUUCAGUGGCGGUGGAUCUCAAGGUGGAACUGAUUUCACUCUGACCAUCAGUGGAGUCCAGACUGAAGAUGCAGGACAUUAUUACUGUCAGAGCAGACAUUACAUCAACAGUAAAUAUGUGUUCACACAGUGAUAAAGAGUCGUACAAAAACCUCUGUCAGUCACACUGCACUGAUACACUGACAGAUAUUGCAGCUGCUCACACACACACACACACACACACACACACACAAACACACACACACACACUUGUUUUUACACUAAAUGUAUCUUUGGUUUUGAGAGAGUAGCAGUAGGGAAAUACUGUGUGCACACUGACAUUGGAAUGAUUGAUACAGUUGAGCCCGUAUUCAGCAUUAACUUAACAUUCUGCAUUGAACCACAUGUGCUGAUUUGAACAGUACACAUUAUCUUUCUUGAAUCACGAUCUUCAUCAACACAACAACAAUGAUAUUCAUCACCUUCUUCAUCUGGACUCUCACAUCAUUUGCUCGAGGUUUGUCAAAUACAACUUUUAUAAUUAGAAGAUCAC